UGCACACUUUCUUGAGGACGAAAGCACAAAGAUUUUUGCUCGGAAAGUAGCUGAUCAUUACAGCGCUAGAUCCAACCAGACUUUGGAAGAACGAGAGGCUAGUCCUAUAAUUCAUUUGAAGAAACUCAAUAACUGGAUUAAGAGCGUCUUAAUUCAGCUUUAUGCUCGUCGAGGAGAUGCAGUACUUGACCUCGCCUGUGGCAAGGGUGGUGAUCUUAUCAAAUGGGACAAGGCCAAAGUUGGAUAUUAUGUUGGUAUUGACAUAGCUGAAGGCUCGGUAAGUAUUGCAUUCUUCC